UACGAAGGUGGCAAGCGUUACUCGGAAUUACUAGGCGUAAAGGGCAGGUAGGUGGUCUGAUAAGUCUGUUGUGGAAGCUCCCGGCUCAACCGGGAGAGGUCAACAGAUACUAUCAGGCUUGAGUAUAGGAGAGGGUACUGGAAUUCCCGGUGUAGCGGUGAAAUGCGCAGAGAUCGGGAGGAACACCAACGGCGAAAGCAGGUACCUGGACUAUUACUGACACUCAGCUGCGAAAGCUAGGGGAGCAAAC
rnacentral:rRNA from 1 species